UGGGGAAUAUUGGACAAUGGGCGAAAGCCUGAUCCAGCCAUGCCGCGUGAGUGACGAAGGCCUUAGGGUUGUAAAACUCUUUCGUCGGGGACGAUAAUGACGGUACCCGAAGAAGAAGCUCCGGCUAACUUCGUGCCAGCAGCCGCAGUAAUACGAAGGGAGCUAGCGUUGUUCGGAAUCACUGGGCGUAAAGCGCACGUAGGCGGAUAGUUAAGUCAGGGGUGAAAUCCUGGGGCUCAACCCCAGAACUGCCUUUGAUACUGGCUGUCUCGAGGUCGAGAGAGGUUGGUGGAAUUCCUAGUGUAGAGGUGAAAUUCGUAGAUAUUAGGAAGAACACCAGUGGCGAAGGCGGCCAACUGGCUCGAUACUGACGCUGAGGUGCGAAAGCGUGGGGAGCAAACAGGAUUAGAUACCCCAGUAGUCCCUGAGCGGGCUGGCAAGGCGCAU
rnacentral:rRNA from 1 species